rnacentral:rRNA from 1 species
GGGUUGUGAGGUUAAGCGACUAAGCGUACACGGUGGAUGCCCUGGCAGUCAGAGGCGAUGAAGGACGUGCUAAUCUGCGAUAAGCGUCGGUAAGGUGAUAUGAACCGUUAUAACCGGCGAUUUCCGAAUGGGGAAACCCAGUGUGUUUCGACACACUAUCAUUAACUGAAUCCAUAGGUUAAUGAGGCGAACCGGGGGAACUGAAACAUCUAAGUACCCCGAGGAAAAGAAAUCAACCGAGAUUCCCCCAGUAGCGGCGAGCGAACGGGGAGCAGCCCAGAGCCUGAAUCAGUGUGUGUGUUAGUGGAAGCGUCUGGAAAGGCGCGCGAUACAGGGUGACAGCCCCGUACACAAAAAUGCACAUGCUGUGAGCUCGAUGAGUAGGGCGGGACACGUGGUAUCCUGUCUGAAUAUGGGGGGACCAUCCUCCAAGGCUAAAUACUCCUGACUGACCGAUAGUGAACCAGUACCGUGAGGGAAAGGCGAAAAGAACCCCGGCGAGGGGAGUGAAAAAGAACCUGAAACCGUGUACGUACAAGCAGUGGGAGCACGCUUAGGCGUGUGACUGCGUACCUUUUGUAUAAUGGGUCAGCGACUUAUAUUCUGUAGCAAGGUUAACCGAAUAGGGGAGCCGAAGGGAAACCGAGUCUUAACUGGGCGUUAAGUUGCAGGGUAUAGACCCGAAACCCGGUGAUCUAGCCAUGGGCAGGUUGAAGGUUGGGUAACACUAACUGGAGGACCGAACCGACUAAUGUUGAAAAAUUAGCGGAUGACUUGUGGCUGGGGGUGAAAGGCCAAUCAAACCGGGAGAUAGCUGGUUCUCCCCGAAAGCUAUUUAGGUAGCGCCUCGUGAAUUCAUCUCCGGGGGUAGAGCACUGUUUCGGCAAGGGGGUCAUCCCGACUUACCAACCCGAUGCAAACUGCGAAUACCGGAGAAUGUUAUCACGGGAGACACACGGCGGGUGCUAACGUCCGUCGUGAAGAGGGAAACAACCCAGACCGCCAGCUAAGGUCCCAAAGUCAUGGUUAAGUGGGAAACGAUGUGGGAAGGCCCAGACAGCCAGGAUGUUGGCUUAGAAGCAGCCAUCAUUUAAAGAAAGCGUAAUAGCUCACUGGUCGAGUCGGCCUGCGCGGAAGAUGUAACGGGGCUAAACCAUGCACCGAAGCUGCGGCAGCGACGCUGAUGCGUUGUUGGGUAGGGGAGCGUUCUGUAAGCCUGCGAAGGUGUGCUGUGAGGCAUGCUGGAGGUAUCAGAAGUGCGAAUGCUGACAUAAGUAACGAUAAAGCGGGUGAAAAGCCCGCUCGCCGGAAGACCAAGGGUUCCUGUCCAACGUUAAUCGGGGCAGGGUGAGUCGACCCCUAAGGCGAGGCCGAAAGGCGUAGUCGAUGGGAAACAGGUUAAUAUUCCUGUACUUGGUGUUACUGCGAAGGGGGGACGGAGAAGGCUAUGUUGGCCGGGCGACGGUUGUCCCGGUUUAAGCGUGUAGGCUGGUUUUCCAGGCAAAUCCGGAAAAUCAAGGCUGAGGCGUGAUGACGAGGCACUACGGUGCUGAAGCAACAAAUGCCCUGCUUCCAGGAAAAGCCUCUAAGCAUCAGGUAACAUCAAAUCGUACCCCAAACCGACACAGGUGGUCAGGUAGAGAAUACCAAGGCGCUUGAGAGAACUCGGGUGAAGGAACUAGGCAAAAUGGUGCCGUAACUUCGGGAGAAGGCACGCUGAUAUGUAGGUGAAGUCCCUCGCGGAUGGAGCUGAAAUCAGUCGAAGAUACCAGCUGGCUGCAACUGUUUAUUAAAAACACAGCACUGUGCAAACACGAAAGUGGACGUAUACGGUGUGACGCCUGCCCGGUGCCGGAAGGUUAAUUGAUGGGGUUAGCGCAAGCGAAGCUCUUGAUCGAAGCCCCGGUAAACGGCGGCCGUAACUAUAACGGUCCUAAGGUAGCGAAAUUCCUUGUCGGGUAAGUUCCGACCUGCACGAAUGGCGUAAUGAUGGCCAGGCUGUCUCCACCCGAGACUCAGUGAAAUUGAACUCGCUGUGAAGAUGCAGUGUACCCGCGGCAAGACGGAAAGACCCCGUGAACCUUUACUAUAGCUUGACACUGAACAUUGAGCCUUGAUGUGUAGGAUAGGUGGGAGGCUUUGAAGUGUGGACGCCAGUCUGCAUGGAGCCGACCUUGAAAUACCACCCUUUAAUGUUUGAUGUUCUAACGUGGACCCGUAAUCCGGGUUGCGGACAGUGUCUGGUGGGUAGUUUGACUGGGGCGGUCUCCUCCUAAAGAGUAACGGAGGAGCACGAAGGUUGGCUAAUCCUGGUCGGACAUCAGGAGGUUAGUGCAAUGGCAUAAGCCAGCUUGACUGCGAGCGUGACGGCGCGAGCAGGUGCGAAAGCAGGUCAUAGUGAUCCGGUGGUUCUGAAUGGAAGGGCCAUCGCUCAACGGAUAAAAGGUACUCCGGGGAUAACAGGCUGAUACCGCCCAAGAGUUCAUAUCGACGGCGGUGUUUGGCACCUCGAUGUCGGCUCAUCACAUCCUGGGGCUGAAGUAGGUCCCAAGGGUAUGGCUGUUCGCCAUUUAAAGUGGUACGCGAGCUGGGUUUAGAACGUCGUGAGACAGUUCGGUCCCUAUCUGCCGUGGGCGCUGGAGAACUGAGGGGGGCUGCUCCUAGUACGAGAGGACCGGAGUGGACGCAUCACUGGUGUUCGGGUUGUCAUGCCAAUGGCACUGCCCGGUAGCUAAAUGCGGAAGAGAUAAGUGCUGAAAGCAUCUAAGCACGAAACUUGCCCCGAGAUGAGUUCUCCCUGACCCUUUAAGGGUCCUGAAGGAACGUUGAAGACGACGACGUUGAUAGGCCGGGUGUGUAAGCGCAGCGAUGCGUUGAGCUAACCGGUACUAAUGAACCGUGAGGCUUAACCUUACAACGCCGAAGGUGUUU